rnacentral:rRNA from 1 species
CAUGCAGUCGAACGGAAAGGCCCUGCUUUUGUGGGGUGCUCGAGUGGCGAACGGGUGAGUAACACGUGAGUAACCUGCCCUUGACUUUGGGAUAACUUCAGGAAACUGGGGCUAAUACCGGAUAGGAGCUCCUGCUGCAUGGUGGGGGUUGGAAAGUUUCGGCGGUUGGGGAUGGACUCGCGGCUUAUCAGCUUGUUGGUGGGGUAGUGGCUUACCAAGGCUUUGACGGGUAGCCGGCCUGAGAGGGUGACCGGCCACAUUGGGACUGAGAUACGGCCCAGACUCCUACGGGAGGCAGCAGUGGGGAAUAUUGCACAAUGGGCGGAAGCCUGAUGCAGCAACGCCGCGUGCGGGAUGACGGCCUUCGGGUUGUAAACCGCUUUCGCCUGUGACGAAGCGUGAGUGACGGUAAUGGGUAAAGAAGCACCGGCUAACUACGUGCCAGCAGCCGCGGUGAUACGUAGGGUGCGAGCGUUGUCCGGAUUUAUUGGGCGUAAAGGGCUCGUAGGUGGUUGAUCGCGUCGGAAGUGUAAUCUUGGGGCUUAACCCUGAGCGUGCUUUCGAUACGGGUUGACUUGAGGAAGGUAGGGGAGAAUGGAAUUCCUGGUGGAGCGGUGGAAUGCGCAGAUAUCAGGAGGAACACCAGUGGCGAAGGCGGUUCUCUGGGCCUUUCCUGACGCUGAGGAGCGAAAGCGUGGGGAGCGAACAGGCUUAGAUACCCUGGUAGUCCACGCUGUAAACGGUGGGUACUAGGUGUGGGGGUCCAUUCCACGGGUUCCGUGCCGUAGCUAACGCUUUAAGUA